rnacentral:rRNA from 1 species
GAGUUUGAUCGUGGCUCAGAUUGAACGCUGGCGGCAGGCUUAACACAUGCAAGUCGAGCGGGGGAGGUUGCUUCGGUAACUGACCUAGCGGCGGACGGGUGAGUAAUACUUAGGAAUCUGCCUAUUAAUGGGGACAACAUCUCGAAAGGGAUGCUAAUACCGCAUACGCCCUACGGGGAAAGCAGGGGAUCACUUGUGACCUUGCGUUAAUAGAUGAGCCUAAGUCGGAUUAGCUAGUUGGUGGGUAAAGGCCUACCAAGGCGACGAUCUGUAGCGGGUCUGAGAGGAUGAUCCGCCACACUGGGACUGAGACACGGCCCAGACUCCUACGGGAGGCAGCAGUGGGGAAUAUUGGACAAUGGGGGGAACCCUGAUCCAGCCAUGCCGCGUGUGUGAAGAAGGCCUUAUGGUUGUAAAGCACUUUAAGCGAGGAGGAGGCUCUUCUAGUUAAUACCUAGGAUGAGUGGACGUUACUCGCAGAAUAAGCACCGGCUAACUCUGUGCCAGCCGCCGCGGU